AUGCUCAUCCAAGCUGCUCAGUAACCCAGACAGUACACAGUCACUGCACCCACGUGCUCCAGAAAGUUUCCAGCCAAAAGAAAAAAAAACAUCAUUACUUAGCCAUGAAAGUCAGCCUCCAAACCCAUGGAUUAAUUGGAAAUUGGACACAGGAUUUGGCUGGCAUGGCACAAAUCCUUUGGUUGCAUUAGGCUUAAAAGACGUUCUGGCUUAAGGGAGAAGAGCAACAAAGGAAAAGUCUGCUGGACAGAUUUUGGUUUAAGGAACUCUACGAGAUAACUCAAUGUGCCUAUUCAAUGGAUCCAAGUCACCCAGCUAGGAAUUGUGCAGGCAGACAUGUAAUUUAGGCCGCUGGACUCCGGAGCCACAUUCUUACCUACCAUUGGAUAGAUCUCACUACACUGUUUGGGCUUCUGCUUGUUGUCAGGGCUAAACAAUUGGGAUGCAGUCCUGGUUAUUAAUUCUGUGCUAUCCCUAACAGGCAUAAUGUUUUAAAGCUGAUGAGAGAGAAAACUUUUUUUUUUUUUUAAUCAAUGCAUUCUACUUGACGUUAAGGAUUUCACUGCUGCCAGAAGAAUCAACUAACAGGUUGAGAUGCUCUUAGUCAUUCACACGGGAUUUAUGCUUGUGCCUUGCAAGGCAUAUGGUCAUGAAGAAUUGUGACUUGCCAUUAAAUUUGAGAAAAAUGCUCUUGCUUUCAACAAAUGAAUGCAAUUGGGUUGAUAGCAUGUGUCUAACCAGACAAGACAGAGAUGCAGAAGUUAAAUCUCUGGCAGCUUUUAUGUACAGAUAUGCAGUUUAUGAGACAUUGACAAAAGCAUUUAUUCCUGCUUUCUUUCUACUUCUGAAUCUUAAGUAUACUAGCAUCAAAAAUGAAGGAAAAAAGCAUUCUCAUAGAGUUCAUCUGAUAUCAGAAACUAUGAAAGGGGAUUUGAUACAAGAGAAUAUUGGAGCAGGAGCUCCAUCCACAAUCUUGAUAUACUCUUGAAAAUAUUUUCACGUUUGAAACCACUGAGAAAUAUAGAAUAUGCUAGCUGGGAUCCCUGGGUGGCGCAGCGGUUUGGCGCCUGCCUUUGGCCCAGGGCGUGAUCCUGGAGACUCGGGAUCGAAUCCCACGUCGGGCUCCCGGUGCAUGGAGCCUGCUUCUCCCUCUGCCUAUGUCUCUGCCUCUCUCUCUCUCUCUCUCUCUCUCUCUGUAUGACUAUCAUAAAUAAAUAAAAAAUUAAAAAUAAAUAAAUAAAAUAG
rnacentral:lncRNA from 1 species